AGUGAACGCUGGCGGCGUGCCUAAUACAUGCAAGUCGAACGGAGUGGCGCACGGGUGAGUAAUGUAUAGCUAAUCUGCCCUUCAUUAGAGGACAACAGUUGGAAACGGCUGCUAAUACUCCAUAGUGUAGGAUGAGGCUAUAUUGUAUCAGCUAGUUGGUGAGGUAAUGGUUCACCAAGGCUAUGACGCAUAACUUGUCUGAGGGGAUGAUCAGUCACACGGGAGCUGAGACACGGUACAGACUCCUACGGGAGGCAGCAGUAAGGAAUAUUGCUCAAUGGGGUAAACCCUGAAGCAGCAACGCCGCGUGGAGGAUGACAUUUUUCGGAGGUUAAACUCCUUUUGUUAGGGAAGCGGUACCUAACGAAUAAGCACCGGCUAACUCCGUGCCAGCAGCCGCGGUAAUAC
rnacentral:rRNA from 1 species